UACGGAGGGUGCGAGCGUUGUCCGGAAUCACUGGGCGUAAAGGGCGCGUAGGUAGCCCGUUAAGUGGCUGGUGAAAUCCCGCGGCUCAACUGCGGGGCUGCCGGUCAGACUGGCGAGCUAGAGCACGGUAGGGGCAGAUGGAAUUCCCGGUGUAGCGGUGGAAUGCGUAGAGAUCGGGAAGAAUACCAGUGGCGAAGGCGUUCUGCUGGGCCGUUGCUGACACUGAGGCGCGACAGCGUGGGGAGCAAACAGG
rnacentral:rRNA from 1 species